CAGCCGCCGCGGGAAUACGAAGGGGGCUAGCGUUGCUCGGAAUGACUGGGCGUAAAGGGCGCGUAGGCGGUUUGUACAGUUGGAUGUGAAAUUCCUGGGCUUAACCUGGGGGCUGCAUUCAAUACGUGCAGGCUUGAGUGGGGAAGAGGGUCGUGGAAUUCCCAGUGUAGAGGUGAAAUUCGUAGAUAUUGGGAAGAACACCGGUGGCGAAGGCGGCGACCUGGUCCUUGACUGACGCUGAGGCGCGAAAGCGUGGGGAGCAAACAGGAUUAGAUACCCCUGUAGUCCCUGUCUCUUAUAC
rnacentral:rRNA from 1 species